rnacentral:rRNA from 1 species
CAGUCGCCGCGGUAAUACGAAGGGGGCUAGCGUUGCUCGGAAUUACUGGGCGUAAAGGGCGCGUAGGCGGACAGUUCAGUCGGGGGUGAAAGCCCGGGGCUCAACCUCGGAAUUGCCUUCGAUACUGGCUGUCUUGAGUAUGAGAGAGGUGUGUGGAACUCCGAGUGUAGAGGUGAAAUUCGUAGAUAUUCGGAAGAACACCAGUGGCGAAGGCGACACACUGGCUCAUUACUGACGCUGAGGCGCGAAAGCGUGGGGAGCAAACAGGAUUAGAUACCCCUGUAGUCCCUGUCUCUUAUAC